GGGGAGCAUGGAACCCCACCCACCACUGGUGGACAAGCAGGCUUCUUAGGCAGCACAGAGUGUUGGGAACAAGGUUCCUCCUACAGGGGCAGGUUGGGGUCAGUUCAAGUGUGUGGCUGCCAGCCCAGGGCCCUCCCUGGCCAGCACCCAGCCCGAGAGAAAAGCAGGAAGGACCAAGUCCAUCUGAAGGGGCCCAGUGCAGGUUGGUGAGGACAGACAGUGGGUAUUUGUCUGAGAUGUGAGAAGUAGACUCCACAGACCCCACUGCAGACGGAAUCAAGCUAAGGCACCAAGCCCAGCUGGGACAGCCUCUGCAGGAGCAGCCUGCUGGUAUCACCUUGGCUCCAUCCACUUGGAUGAAUUCUGCUGCUCUAGAGAAGAACCUGGGGUCAGAAUGGACCUGGAUACACAUCAUAGCCUUGGCAGUGGCGACGAGAACCUGUAGUAGGCACCUGCAGCUUUCUGAGAAAGGCUGCUCCUAACGCUGUCACUUCCUUCCCCACAGGCCUCAGGUCCAGGCUCUUCGGGGCCAGGCUGGGACUGGGCCCCUGAGAAACUGAAACUCUGUGCCUUACCCAGCCAGGAGCCUUGGGAGUCUUGGCCAUUGAUGCUAGGACCUGGCCUGGCAUCACCCUGAACCACCUGCACGCUCAUAGCCUCACCUUCUGCUUUGCAAGCCUCUACCCACCUCCCAUCGCAUGCACCACGGGGGUGGGAGGAAGCCUCCUGUCUGGCUCUAGGGAGAUAGGUACAAAUACCUGCAAUGGGCUGCAACAUUCCCAGACUGCCUCCAUGGCUCAGUUGACCUUUAGCUGAGUACUGUUUUAUGCAUCUUUAUUCUGCUGUGGCUGAGUUGGGGACAGUGAGGGAGGGAGGCUUGGUGGCAGUGCUGUGGGUAGGUCCUGGCUGGUAGGCCCCAGGGAACAAAAAGAGAUGAAUAAUGGUUGAUGACCACAGCAGCUGCCAUCUCUCUCAGUGUCUGCCCAGCAAGGAACAGACUGCCCCUGCCCGGCCCCUCCAUCCCCACUCCUAGGGGUCCACUGUUGAGUCUGGAGCCCAGCAGGGAUUUUAACCAAUAAAGAGCAACCUUGUCUGCCAUGACUGUUGUAUUUACACCAUGGGAACGAGCGGUGACAUUGUGAAGAGGCUCUG
rnacentral:lncRNA from 1 species